rnacentral:lncRNA from 1 species
UGGGAAGAUCAUAGAGAGAGCCAGCCAUGUACACUACCAAGAGGUGCAUUGCCACGGCCAUCGUGGUGGUGCUCUGGCUCCAGGCCGCCGCCUCUCCCCUGGCGGCGUGAUCCGGCUUCCGAGCGAUGGCAGAGGUUCGUGACUGACACAAGUGCCCGUGAACUACUGUUUGUUGCCACAUACUCCUUCCGUCCCAUAAUGCAUGACAUUUUUGUAAUGUCGAAAAAUGUCUUGCAUUACGGGCCGGAGGGACUACAUGCUAUUUCUACUUCGUUUAUUGCUUAUCACCGAUGGACUCACUGUAAGCAUGGAAGAUCUCAGGUGAUUCUGUUGAUCAAGUCGGGUCGUCAAAGGUGAUCGGCAUAGAGGAUCCAUUCUAUACUUGUCCGGAUGGCAAGGUGCUGAAAUGCAAAGUCAUUGCGUUACAAUGGUAUUG